CAGACAUUUUAUUUCUUACAUUUGUGAUGAUUCUUUUUUCCUCUCUAUAUUCAAGGGACACUAUAGUCACCAGAACCACAACAUCUAAACAUAGUAGUUCUGGUGUCUAUAGCAUGUCUUUGCAGGCUUUUUAAUGUAAGCACAGCCAUUUCGUAAAAAGGCAGUAUUUACAUUACUGAUGAGGAAUGCCUCUAGUGGACACUCAGAUGGCCACUAGAGGUGCUUCCUUGUCGAGAC